rnacentral:misc_RNA from 1 species
UCUCCGUUGGUGAACCAGCGGAGGGAUCAUUACCGAGUUUACAACUCCCAAACCCCUAUGUGAACGUUACCAAACUGUUGCCUCGGCGGGAAAUUCAUGCCCCGGGCGCGUCGCAGCCCCGGACCAAGGCGCCCGCCGGAGGACCAACCAAAACUCUUUUGUAUGUCCCUCGCGGACUUUUAUAAUUCUGAACCAUCUCGGCGCCCCUAGCGGGCGUUUCGAAAAUGAAUCAAAACUUUCAACAACGGAUCUCUCGGUUCUG